AAGAAUACAAGCCAAACACACACUCUCCAAGCACUAGCAGUGGCAGUAUAUACUACUAGGAGAAGAUGAUGUUCCUGCCUUCUUCUCCACGCGGAAGUUACCGGGAGUACCUUGUGCAACUGCUUGCUGCCAUCGUCAUUGGACUGCUCACGAUACCUAGCGCCGUUUCUCCUACUUCACUAGUGAGUAUAUAUAUAUAUAUAUAUUAAUUAAUGUGCAAACCUUGGUUUUGCUAUUUCCGGAGGUUCCUUGCUUGCCUUGUCAUCUGACAUCAGAUCUUAAUUACUACUACCUACUGUUUUUGCAGCCUGUUGAUCAGCAUCGCUGUGUUGAUCCCGACCGCUGUCUCCAGUAUGGCCUCCACAUAAAAUGUGAUCUGCUGUAGAAGCUACAUACAGCCACGUGCAUACAAGGGCACACUUCUUUCCACUCAUCUCCAGCCGCCGUACGUCUUCGUGUGUGUGCUCGUCACAACACCAUAGACUAGAAAAACAAACGAGCUACUACUACUUGAAAUGCAUACUAGUUAAUAAAGUGAACCUUUUCUGCUCUCGUUUGUUCUAGAAAUAUUUUCACAUUGCUUGAAUGCUUGAUUGACAUGAAACAUGUCUUGGGCUAAUACACUAGUACACAGAUGUUCUAUAGCGACGGUUGUGAACAUAUUUACACUAUCGUUUUUCAGAACUGCCAAUGUUGUACAUCACAGAUAUCACAUAAUCAUCACAUACAUAAUAGAGACCACAUAUUUCACCAAAAAACACAAAUCUCACAAUUUUUUCACAAACAUGUCUAUGUUCAUACCAAGUUUCACCAACAUAAGUAUUACCAACUCUAAAACAUAAGUUUUUCACAAACAUAAGUUCAGAACAAGUUUAUCACACAAAGUCUCACAAUGACCACUAAGCUAAGAGAAGAUCAUCAGCGAGGUGGGCAGCUGGACUGGUGAGGCGAUGGGCUGGGCGAUUCAUGAGGGUUAUUGGAUGCCACCCCAAAUUGUUCCUGCAUAGAGCAGAGAUUGCAUGUGUUAUACCAGAUAAAUAUAUAUUAUGCAAGACUAAAAUUUUGAUACUCACAGGAGUAUGGAACUGAGCAAGGUCAACUGGAGGGAACAACGGAGGUGGUGGAGCAAAACCUUGUGCGGCGCCAAGGCUCUGCAUGUACUGAAACAUCUCUGCCAUCCUCUAUUGAUCUGCCAACCGGGCCUCCCACUCCGCCAUCAUCCUCGCCCCCAUCUCAUGUCAUUCCCUCCUCUCUUCUUCUAGCUGGGCAUGUAAUAUUUCAACCUAAAGUUAUAAUAACUCAAAGAGAAG
rnacentral:lncRNA from 1 species